rnacentral:rRNA from 1 species
UACGUAGGGGGCAAGCGUUGUCCGGAAUCAUUGGGCGUAAAGAGCGUGUAGGCGGCUCGAUAAGUCCGCUGUGAAAGUCCAGGGCUCAACCCUGGAAUGCCGGUGGAUACUGUCGGGCUCGAAUCCGGAAGAGGUGAGUGGAAUUCCUGGUGUAGCGGUGAAAUGCGCAGAGUAUCAGGAGGAACACCAAUGGCGAAGGCAGCUCACUGGGACGGUAUUGACGCUGAGACGCGAAAGCGUGGGGAGCAAACAGG